GGUCGAUUAGUGCAAAGGUUAGCACAGUAGAUUUUCAUUCUACUAAUGUUGAGUUCGAGUCUCACAUCGACUU
rnacentral:tRNA from 2 species